AAGGAAAAUUACAAAUUGAGGACGUUUGUGUUGGCACCCUGCAAGCGAUCAAAUCGCCCGCCCCGUGAUCGAAGCAGACGCGACACGAAAAGGGUUUCGGCGGCUGGUCCACUCGACCAGCGAUGGCGCGGGAGGCGACGGACUUCCACCUCCCCGACGAACUGCUCGCGGUGAUCCCUGUCGACCCCUACGACCAGCUCGACCUCGCGCGGCGGAUCGCCUCCCUGGCCAUCACCUCCCGCGUCUCCCACCUGGAAGGGGAGGCUGACCGUCUGCGUCAGAUGAUCACCGACCGUGAUCUGGUUAUCGAGGACCUCCACGGCAAGAUCGCUCACCUCGAUCGCUUGGUCCAAGUGUCCGAUGCUCGCCUCAGGGAUAUGGACGAAGAGAACGCUAAGCUUUCUAGGGAACGGCAGAUGCUGACUACGACCUCGAAGAAAAUGGCCAGAGAAUUAUCGAAGUUGGAGAUGUUCAAGAGUCAACUGAUGGACUCAUUAAGCGGUGACAGGUUACCUCAACAAUCAGAUUCUGUUGAUAUUGGAAUGCAAAAACCGCCAAUUGCUAGAGUAUCUUCUUGGAGAGAUGAUGAUAAUAUUAGUCAAAUGGUUGCAAAUGAAUCAGCUGAAAUAAAAGAAACAGGAGAGUCCAGUCAAGAUGAUCCUAGUAUGCAUCAGUUCUCAAUCACACCAUACAUCUCGCCAAAGCUGACCCCUACCACCACACCAAAAGGUUCUUCAACUAAUGGUACUCCUAUAGGAUUCUCAACUAUCAGAUCAUCACCUAUAUUCUUGUCUGGAGCAACAUCACCAACAACAUCUCAAUAUGGAGAGCAUGGUUCUAUGUCGCCUUUGUAUGCUUCCAGUCAGCAAUCUUCUACAGCCAGUUCUCCUCCUCAUAGGCAAUCAUUGCCAGGACGUAAUUCUCGUACAGACGGAAAGGAACUCUUCCGUCAAGCAAGGAUCCGCCUCUCAUAUGAGCAAUUUGCUGCAUUUUUGGCCAAUGUCAAGGAGUUCAAUGCUCAUAGACAGUCAAGCAAGGAUACUUUGGCAAAGGCUGACAAAAUUUUCGGUACAGAGAACAAAGAUCUCUAUUUCACCUUCCAGAGCUUGGUAAAUCGUGCCAGACAAUAGAUAUAAAGGGUGACAUGCAAAUUACUCAUUGUUCACAUCCUCUCUUAUUAGUACAGCCACUGAAGACAUUGCUGCAUAGGAAAGGAUUUCACCGUAACCUUCACGAAGGUCCAGGGCCCUCACUCCGCCGGACCCAGGGAGCUCGAAGAAGGUCGGGGUCGCCGAAGCAGGAACCGGAGGCGGCGACGGCGGAGUCGCGGAGGAAGGAAGGAUAGCGAAGAGGGGAGCGGAAGAGAGGAGCAGGGCGGAGGAGGAGAACAGUGACCUCCUCGUCGUCGGGUGCGGAAUUCUGUUGGUUAGGGUUUUGCGAUGAAAUUGGGGAUUGGAGGAGGAAGACGGCGCCAGUGACAAGGCCGUCGCCAUUGUUUUUUUUUUUUUUUUUUUUUUUCUAAAA